rnacentral:rRNA from 1 species
ACGCUGGCGGCAGGCCUAACACAUGCAAGUCGAGCGGUAGAGAGAAGCUUGCUUCUCUUGAGAGCGGCGGACGGGUGAGUAAUGCCUAGGAAUCUGCCUGGUAGUGGGGGAUAACGUUCGGAAACGGACGCUAAUACCGCAUACGUCCUACGGGAGAAAGCAGGGGACCUUCGGGCCUUGCGCUAUCAGAUGAGCCUAGGUCGGAUUAGCUAGUUGGUGAGGUAAUGGCUCACCAAGGCGACGAUCCGUAACUGGUCUGAGAGGAUGAUCAGUCACACUGGAACUGAGACACGGUCCAGACUCCUACGGGAGGCAGCAGUGGGGAAUAUUGGACAAUGGGCGAAAGCCUGAUCCAGCCAUGCCGCGUGUGUGAAGAAGGUCUUCGGAUUGUAAAGCACUUUAAGUUGGGAGGAAGGGUUGUAGAUUAAUACUCUGCAAUUUUGACGUUACCGACAGAAUAAGCACCGGCUAACUCUGUGCCAGCAGCCGCGGUAAUACAGAGGGUGCAAGCGUUAAUCGGAAUUACUGGGCGUAAAGCGCGCGUAGGUGGUUUGUUAAGUUGGAUGUGAAAUCCCCGGGCUCAACCUGGGAACUGCAUUCAAAACUGACUGACUAGAGUAUGGUAGAGGGUGGUGGAAUUUCCUGUGUAGCGGUGAAAUGCGUAGAUAUAGGAAGGAACACCAGUGGCGAAGGCGACCACCUGGACUGAUACUGACACUGAGGUGCGAAAGCGUGGGGAGCAAAC